rnacentral:rRNA from 1 species
UACGUAGGGUGCAAGCGUUAAUCGGAAUUACUGGGCGUAAAGCGUGCGCAGGCGGUUAUGCAAGACAGAUGUGAAAUCCCCGGGCUCAACCUGGGAACUGCAUUUGUGACUGCAUGGCUAGAGUACGGUAGAGGGGGAUGGAAUUCCGCGUGUAGCAGUGAAAUGCGUAGAGAUGUGGAGGAACACCGAUGGCGAAGGCAGCCCCCUGGGCUAACACUGACGCUCAUGCACGAAAGCGUGGGGAGCAAACAGG